UGGGGAAUAUUGCACAAUGGGCGCAAGCCUGAUGCAGCCAUGCCGCGUGUAUGAAGAAGGCCUUCGGGUUGUAAAGUACUUUCAGCGGGGAGGAAGGGAGUAAAGUUAAUACCUUUGCUCAUUGACGUUACCCGCAGAAGAAGCACCGGCUAACUCCGUGCCAGCAGCCGCGGUAAUACGGAGGGUGCAAGCGUUAAUCGGAAUUACUGGGCGUAAAGCGCACGCAGGCGGUUUGUUAAGUCAGAUGUGAAAUCCCCGGGCUCAACCUGGGAACUGCAUCUGAUACUGGCAAGCUUGAGUCUCGUAGAGGGGGGUAGAAUUCCAGGUGUAGCGGUGAAAUGCGUAGGGAUCUGGAGGAAUACCGGUGGCGAAGGCGGCCCCCUGGACAAAGACUGACGCUCAGGUGCGAAAGCGUGGGGAGCAAACAGG
rnacentral:rRNA from 1 species